AUGGAAGCAGAGCACAUUGCACAAGCUUCCAGAGUUGCAGAAAGAGAGAGGGAGGGGAAGAAGGACUGGGCGAAGCUCACCUUGAGUGUUGAAAUCAGCCAAACUUGCCGGCCUGCUGCAGCUGCAUCAAGUGCCCCGCUGGGACACACGACGGGCACCUGCGCUGCAAGCGACCCUACCCCUCGAGUGCCUCAUAAUGCACCCGGCAGCGGAGGCCGUGCCCUCCACCACGAAGCGCCCUCCACCACGAAGCCUAUCCAGGGAUGUCACCAAGCAUCUCGCCGUCGAUUUCGUCCGGGUGUCCGCUUCUUCCUCCAGAUCGGUUGGCAUCCAGUCCUCCCCUCCUUCGGCCGUAGACGGGUGAGACAGGCAUCGGCAGAGCACGGGGCGGACGCAUCUGGGACACCACGCGACACGGACGAGGCGUGUCUGGCUGCUGCCACUCCUCUCCCUUGGACUGACGAUGAGGAAGAUGCGGCAGGUCCGGGUGCCGCCAUGGAAGCGAAGAGGGAGGAGGAUCCAGGCGCCGCCAUGAGGGAAGGGGGAGGAGAAUCCAGACCUUGGUAG
rnacentral:rRNA from 1 species